GCGGGCGUAGCUUAGCUGGUUUAAAGUGCUGCCCUGUCACGGCAGAGAUCACGGGUUCAAAUCCCGUCGCCCGCG
rnacentral:tRNA from 1 species